GUUAGAGCACCUGACUGUUAAUCAGGGUGUCGCCUGUUCGAGUCAGGCAAGAGGCGCCA
rnacentral:tRNA from 1 species